GGUGUGCGGGUGUGUGGCGAGUGUGUGUGUGUGGCAGUGUUUCCUUGGUGUUGCGGUGGUAAUGCCUUGACAGUGUGCAGUGUUUGAUGACAGUGUGUGUGUUGUGUGGCAAAGACAAGCCAUGUUGGAGAAGAGCAAAACACGCUGCCGAGAUGAAACACAGUGAGUGAAGGAAGGAAGUGACUGAUGGAGGACACAGUGCACCAGUGUGUGGCUCGGCAGUGACGUCACCUUCACUUCACAGACGUGGGUGAAGGCGGCAAGGCACAAGGCAGGUGUGAAUGUAGGCAGCGGCGGGCCGGCGGGCCGGGACAGGGCGGCAGCCUUCACCACUACGUACAUGCGUGUCACUCAACAUUUGACGGUGAAGAGUCGUGAUGGUGAGGUGUUACAGGUGUAGCCAGCCGUCCCUAACCUGCAGGACAAGUAGCAGUGACCUGACCCCACCACAACAUGAAAUACCCGGAUGUCAACAAAGGGUCACCUGAGGCCGCUCCUCUUUAUCGGCCAUUAUUUGCUUGUCUGUCAUUUAUUACGAGCCAAACCUGUGGCAAGAUGGAGCUGCCAGCCUGGGCUUCCACACCAGCCCGUCAAACAGAUCCGCCAUCGCCUGGUGUCCGUGUGGCGAAGGUUUGAGUGAGCAAGGUGGCGUCUGGCCGCCGCUGGUGCCGCCGCCAUCUUGGACUGGGUCCGCCUGGGGCAGGUCCCGUGACGUCACGAGUCCCCUCGGCCAGGGAGCCCUGCCCGUGACGUCAUCAGUCCCGCCGCUUCCCGACCAGCCGGCCGGGCUCUCCGGCUCCAUAUUUAGCCUAAUAUACAAGGUUUUCAAGGUGUCUGGGAGUGUUUCUAGACGCAGUUUAGUGCCACCCAACUCCGUCCCGUGGAGCUUGUUGAGAAUGAGGCCGUGCGGAUAAUCUUGGGAUGCACGGAUUGAAGUCUUCAGAGGUGAACUGCACCUGCCGAGUAUUAUGUGUAGGGUGCAGGACAUUUAUUGA